UUACACAUUCUUUGUGGAACUGUUUCGAUAAGCUUCUGCAAUGUCAAAAGAUUUAUUUUUCACCAAGAUCUUGCAGCAGCAUUGAUGAUGGUAGAAUCUGACCGCUGCACAAAGUCAUGUCCAGCACAUCCCAAAGAUUCUCAAUGGGGUUAAGGUCUGGACUCAUGUUGGACUAAUGAUGAUCUCAUACUGCCUGAACCACUCUUUCACAAUUCCAGCCCCAUGAAUCCUGGCAUUGUCAUCUUGGAAUAUGCUCGUGCCAUCAGGGAAGAAAAAAACUUUAGCAUUUAACCAAAAGGUUAUUGGAUACUGCUAUAUUAGACAAAAGUAGUAACAUCCCAACAUUUUAGGCAAAUGUUGUUGUUGUUUUUUUUGGCAUUUAACCAAGGAUAGCAACCACUUUUUACACUCUUCAGACUUUUCCAAGCCAACAUAAAGCUUUCCCUUUCUUGUUUAAAUUUGAAAUGUAAUUUGUAAGUGGAUGUUCGGUUGUUGUGAGCUAAUGUUAGUUAGUGUGGGGGGUGUGCUGUGUUGUGGGUUUUUGAGAGUGAAGCAGUGAGUUAGCUGGGUUAAGUGGCUCGGUGUGAUGUGAUUUGGGAGUGGACCGAAGACAGUCUCGUCUACUUGCCCGAGUCUCGCGAUGCCUUGGCUUGUCCUGCUGCUGCUGCUGUAAGAUGGCGAAGGCGUGCACGCUCGCUGUCUCUCAGGUUUCAAGAAGCUUUGAAGUUUGUCAAAAAAUCGCUUGGGCUUUGGUUGGUUGUGAGCUGUGUGCUGCUGCAGUGCUGGGAACCGUGGGCUGCAGUGCUGGGAGAUGUGGGCUGAGGUAGUAGUUUGUAUAGUUUGGGAUCACACCAGAUCUGGGAGAUAACUAUACAGUCUACUGUCUUUCUCACAGCUUCUGCUUUACUUCAUGCUCUACUCACAGAAAUUCUGGACUCUGAAGCUGUGUUACUUUACAGUUUGUGGUUGUGUGUGGCUUUGUUGUGCUGAGGUAGUAAGUUGUGUUGUUGUGGGGACAUUGUAUUAUUUGCCCCGACUGGAGAUAACUAUACAUCUUACUGCCUUCCACACUGGAGUCUUUGUACCCCUAUGACUUUAUUCAGAAUGUAAAUUAAUUUUGGUUGUUUAAUUUGCUAUUAUCAAGCACUGCUGUAUACUUAUUUCAUGUAUUUGAUUUGAUGUAAUGGCCUUCUUCUGAUUUUGUCUUCUGUUGUGAAAGUAUUAAUAAACACAUUUUAUGAAUGAA